AACGUAGAUGGCUUUGUAAGUCGGAUGUGAAAUCCCCGGGCUCAACCUGGGAACUGCAUUCGAAACUGCAUUGCUCGAAUGUGGAAGAGGGAAGCGGAAUUCCAGGUGUAGCGGUGAAAUGCGUAGAUAUCUGGAGGAACAUCAGUGGCGAAGGCGGCUUCCUGGUCCAACAUUGACAUUCAGGUGCGAAAGCGUGGGGAGCAAACAGGAUUAGAUACCCUGGUAGUCCACGCCAUAAACGAUGAGAACUAGAUGUCGGGAGGGUUAGCCUUCCGGUGUCGCAGCUAACGCGUUAAGUUCUCCGCCUGGGGAGUACGGCCGCAAGGUUGAA
rnacentral:rRNA from 1 species